GAUCAAGCGACUAAGUGCAUGUGGUGGAUGCCUUGGCGAUUACAGGCGAUGAAGGACGUAGCAGCCUGCGAUAAGCCCCGGGGAGUCGGCAAGCAGACUUUGAUCCGGGGAUUUCCGAAUGGGGAAACCCACCCGCAAGGGUACCCUCACCUGAAUACAUAGGGUGUGUGGAGCGAACCUGCUGAACUGAAACAUCUAAGUAGGCAGAGGAACAGAAAUCAACCGAGAUUCCGAAAGUAGUGGCGAGCGAAAUCGGAUCAGCCUGUGCGUUUUAGCAGUUGUCCUAGAGGAACGGUCUGGAAAGUCCGGCCAUAGCGGGUGAUAGCCCCGUACUCGAAAGGUCGACUGUGGAACUGAGCGCACGACAAGUAGGGCGGGACACGUGAAAUCCUGUCUGAAGAUGGGGGGACCAUCCUCCAAGGCUAAAUACUCGUAAUCGACCGAUAGUGAACUAGUACCGUGAGGGAAAGGCGAAAAGAACCCCGGGAGGGGAGUGAAAUAGAUCCUGAAACCGCAUGCAUACAAACAGUAGGAGCCCGCAAGGGUGACUGCGUACCUUUUGCAUAAUGGGUCAGCGACUUACAUUCUGUGGCAAGCUUAACCGUGUAGGGUAGGCGCAGCGAAAGCGAGUCCGAAUAGGGCGUUCAGUCGCAGGGUGUAGACCCGAAACCAGAUGAUCUAUCCAUGGCCAGGUUGAAGGUGGGGUAACACCCACUGGAGGACCGAACCGACUGUUGUUGCAAAAACAGCGGAUGAGCUGUGGAUAGGGGUGAAAGGCCAAACAAAUCUGGAAAUAGCUGGUUCUCCCCGAAAACUAUUGAGGUAGUGCCUCGCGUAUCACUCCAGGGGGUAGAGCACUGUUAUGGCUAGGGGGACAUGGCGUCUUACCAAACCAUGGCAAACUCCGAAUACCUGGAAGUGUCAGCGCGGGAGACAGUGCACCGGGUGCUAACGUCCGGACACGAGAGGGAAACAACCCAGACCGCCAGCUAAGGUCCCAAAUAUCGGCUAAGUGGAAAACGAAGUGGAAAGGCUAAGACAGUCAGGAAGUUGGCUUAGAAGCAGCCAUCCUUUAAAGAAAGCGUAAUAGCUCACUGAUCGAGUCUUUCUGCGCGGAAGAUGUAACGGGGCUAAGCCGAUAACCGAAGCUGCGGAUUUGCGCGAAAGCGCAAGUGGUAGGGGAGCGUUCUGUAAGCCUGCGAAGGUGGUUCGUAAGGACUGCUGGAGGUAUCAGAAGUGCGAAUGCUGACAUGAGUAGCGUUAAAGCGGGUGAAAAGCCCGCUCGCCGAAAGCCCAAGGUUUCCUGCUCUACGUUCAUCGGAGCAGGGUGAGUCGGCCCCUAAGGUGAGGACGAGAGUCGUAACUGAUGGGAACCAGGUCAAUAUUCCUGGACCGAUGCCAAGUGCGAUGGGGGGACGGAGCAUUGAAGGUCAUCCGGGUGUUGGACGUCCCGGUUUCUGAUCGUAGGAGGCCAGUAGGCAAAUCCGCUGGCGGAUCUCCGAGGUGAAGGAUCGAGCGGUCUUUUGGCCGCGAAGUGAUUGGAUGUGCUUCCAGGAAAAGCCUCUAAGCUCCAGCUUGGCACGACCGUACCGCAAACCGACACUGGUGGGCGAGCUGAAUAUGCUCAGGCGCUUGAGAGAACUCGGGAGAAGGAACUCGGCAAAUUGACACCGUAACUUCGGAAGAAGGUGUGCCUUAGUAGCGUGACAGGAGAAACACCUGAAGCGCCAAUAGGCCGCAGAGAAUCGGUGGCUGCGACUGUUUAUUAAAAACACAGCACUCUGCUAACACGAAAGUGGACGUAUAGGGUGUGACGCCUGCCCGGUGCUGGAAGGUUAAUUGAUGGAGUGCAAGCUCUUGAUCGAAGCCCCAGUAAACGGCGGCCGUAACUAUAACGGUCCUAAGGUAGCGAAAUUCCUUGUCGGGUAAGUUCCGACCUGCACGAAUGGCGUAACGAUGGCCACACUGUCUCCUCCCGAGACUCAGCGAAGUUGAAAUGUUUGUGAUGAUGCAAUCUACCCGCGGCUAGACGGAAAGACCCCAUGAACCUUUACUGUAGCUUUGCAUUGGACUGUGAACCGAUCUGUGUAGGAUAGGUGGGAGGCGUUGAAGCGGAGCCGCUAGGUUUCGUGGAGCCAACCUUGAAAUACCACCCUGGUUUGUUUGCGGUUCUAACCUUCGCCCGUUAUCCGGGUGGGGAACAGUGCAUGGUAGGCAGUUUGACUGGGGCGGUCUCCUCCCAAAAGGUAACGGAGGAGUUCGAAGGUACGCUAGGCACGGUCGGAAAUCGUGCUGAUAGUGCAAGGGCAUAAGCGUGCUUAACUGCGAGACAGACACGUCGAGCAGAUACGAAAGUAGGACCUAGUGAUCCGGUGGUUCUGUAUGGAAGGGCCAUCGCUCAACGGACAAAAGGUACUCUGGGGAUAACAGGCUGAUACCGCCCAAGAGUUCAUAUCGACGGCGGUGUUUGGCACCUCGAUGUCGGCUCAUCUCAUCCUGGGGCUGUAGCCGGUCCCAAGGGUAUGGCUGUUCGCCAUUUAAAGAGGUACGUGAGCUGGGUUUAAAACGUCGUGAGACAGUUUGGUCCCUAUCUGCCGUGGGCGCUGGAAGAUUGACGGGGGCUGCUCCUAGUACGAGAGGACCGGAGUGGACGCACCUCUGGUGUACCGGUUGUCACGCCAGUGGCAUCGCCGGGUAGCUAUGUGCGGAAGAGAUAACCGCUGAAAGCAUCUAAGCGGGAAACUUGCCUGGAGAUUAGUCUUCCCGGAGGCUUGACCUCCCUAAAGGGUCGUUCGAGACCAGGACGUUGAUAGGCUGGGUGUGGAAGGGCUGUGAGGCCUUAAGCUAACCAGUACUAAUUGCCCGUGAGGCUUGAUCCU
rfam:Burkholderiales bacterium GJ-E10 DNA, complete genome.